UAAUGGGUGAGUAUGAUCUCUGAUAUAUUUUUUUUUUGAAUAUUUACUUGAGAAAUAUUUAAUUAUAUAUUUAAAAAUGGGUCUCUCUUUCUCUCUUUUUAGUUAUUUUCUCUCUGUGGAAAUGCUAGAGCACUGCGACAAAGAAAAUCAAAAGGAAACCAUUAUUUUUGGGAGUAACAAUUUUUACUUAUCCUCAUACGCCAACAAUUUCGGAAUCAAUUUUAAGAUAGACCGCUUAGGUGAUCUUCGCAUGGCACGGUAGAUGAAGAGCUUCACCAAAUUGACCUUUAUUGUUUUGAAGUGAUGAUGAACAACAUUAAUGAUUAGUUUAUGCAUUUUGUAAACUUAGUUAAUGUAAUUAUUUAGUUGGAUAGUAUGAGUAUUAGUUAGUUUGUUUAAUGGAUAUUGUAAUUAUAUAUUAAUUUUAAAUUUGAUUUAUAUUUAAAUUAGAUAAUUGGUUUUUAA